ACGAACGCUGGCGGCGUGCUUAACACAUGCAAGUCGAACGGAAAGGCCCUGCUUUUGUGGGGUGCUCGAGUGGCGAACUGGUGAGUAACACGUGAGUAACCUGCCCUUGACUUUGGGAUAACUUCAGGAAACUGGGGCUAAUACCGGAUAGGAGCUCCUGCUGCAUGGUGGGGGUUGGAAAGUUUCGGCGGUUGGGGAUGGACUCGCGGCUUAUCAGCUUGUUGGUGGGGUAGUGGCCUACCAAGGCUUUGACGGGUAGCCGGCCUGAGAGGGUGACCGGCCACAUUGGGACUGAGAUACGGCCCAGACUCCUACGGGAGGCAGCAGUGGGGAAUAUUGCACAAUGGGCGGAAGCCUGAUGCAGCAACGCCGCGUGCGGGAUGACGGCCUUCGGGUUGUAAACCGCUUUCGCCUGUGACGAAGCGUGAGUGACGGUAAUGGGUAAAGAAGCACCGGCUAACUACGUG
rnacentral:rRNA from 1 species